rnacentral:rRNA from 1 species
GCGUGGGAACCUGCCCAGAGGUACGGGACAACCGAUGGAAACGUCGGCUAAUACCGUAUGAUCCCUGAGGGGCAAAGAUUUAUCGCCUUUGGAGGGGCCCGCGUUAGAUUAGCUUGUUGGUGGGGUAAUGGCCUACCAAGGCUGCGAUCUAUAGCUGGUCUGAGAGGAUGAUCAGCCACACUGGGACUGAGACACGGCCCAGACUCCUACGGGAGGCAGCAGUGGGGAAUCUUGGACAAUGGGGGAGACCCUGAUCCAGCGACGCCGCGUGGGUGAUGAAGGCCUUCGGGUUGUAAACCC